UACGGGGGGAGCAAGCGCUGUUCGGAUUUACUGGGCGUAAAGGGCGCGUAGGCGGCGUGACAAGUCACUUGUGAAAAUCUCCGGGCUUAACCCGGAGCGGCCAAGUGAUACUGUCGUGCUAGAGUGCGGAAGGGGCUACUGGAAUUCUCGGUGUAGCGGUGAAAUGCGUAGAUAUCGAGAGGAACACCAGCGGCGAAGGCGGCUCACUGGGCUCCACCUGACGCUGAGGCGCGAAAGCGUGGGAGCAAACAGG
rnacentral:rRNA from 1 species